ensembl:miRNA MIR15B microRNA 15b
UUGAGGCCUUAAAGUACUGUAGCAGCACAUCAUGGUUUACAUACUGCAGUCAAGAUGCGAAUCAUUAUUUGCUGCUCUAGAAAUUUAAGGAAAUUCAU